rnacentral:lncRNA from 1 species
AUACACACACCAGACACAGACCACGCACAUACCACACACACAGACACCACACACAUGCACCACACGCACCACACCACACACACACACAUACACACACACGAGCAGAGCAAGGGACAGCCAUGUUGUGUGAUCUGGGAGGGUGGCUCAUCCUCUCUGAGUUGUUUAUAAACCGGGCGGGACCCAGGCCUGCCAAUCAAAGGCCUGAUCUGAAUGCUCUUAUUGGUUCAGAGAUGGACAUGUGACCCUCUCUUGGCCAAUCAGAGGCUUUCCUGCUGGAAGGGCUGCUGGAAGCCAUCUUCGCACGGUUCUUCCCUUGGCUUUAGAGCCCCGAAGCGCUCUUUGACUUGAGCUGCUUUGCAUUCUCUCUGUCCUGCCAUCGAGAAAGUUCUGAGCGGCUCAGAAGUAAUACUGACACUAUCAACGGAGGGGGACUGCAGUUUCGCUGGUGGCCCCACAGCCCCCUGCCUCCAGCCAGGGGACAAAGAACAGGAGGGAUCCAGAGCCUCCUCCUGCCUGCUCAGCCGUGGGUCUCUUUCCCUCUGAUCCACUCACCAUGGGACCGCCAGGCAGCUCCCAAAUCCAAACAUGACCAUGAGCUGCCCCGGCUUGAAACCCAAGCAUGACCCCCUGUCACAGGCUGGACCAAGUCCUGAGUUCCUAAACCACCUUCAGGGCUGCCUGCACCUGCACCUCCCGCUCCUGCUGUGCCCUGAUCCCAUGUGCUGGGUGAACUGGGUUCUUCCGAGCCCUCCAGCCCUGGAUGCUAACCCCAGAGCUGCAAGCUAUCCCUCCGAGGAAUUCUGCCCCAGACAGCAGAGAGAUGGGGGGCAGGGGACACAUGGCCAUGAGGACAGAGAGCCCUGAGAGGGACUGGGGAAUCGAGACAUCGUUUUCAAAUAAUUGCAGCAAUCAAGAGAGACUGUACAUCCCAUCCCAGACAAAGGGAGACCUAAAAUGAGAGAAUGGAGCUGGGCGCAGUGGUUCACGCCUGUAAUCCCUGCACUUUGGGAGGCCGAGGCAGGCAAAUCACCUGAGGUCAGGAGUUCCAGACCGGCUGGGCAACAUGGUGAAACCCUGUCUCUACUAAAAAUAUGAAAAAAAGUUAGCCAGGCGUCCGCGUGCCUGUAAUUCCAGCUACUCAGGAGACUGAGGCAGGAGAAUCGCUUGAACCUGGGAGGCAGAGGUUGCAGUGAGCCGAGAUCACGCCACUGCACUCCAGCCUGGGCGAUAAGAGUGAAACUCUGUCUCAAAAUAAAUAAAUAAAUAAAUAAAUAAAUAAUCUUAAAAAAAAUAAAAAGAAAACUAGAGAAUGAUGACUUCUGUUUACCAUGUGCCUGGUUUCCUGUCCUGUCUGUGAUCCUGUUGCUGUUUGCUGUCAACUGUUCCUGCUUCAGUGAUAUUAGAAGGGUUCAAGGAGAAUGUGGGUCCCCUCCUUGCCUGCUCUGGGCCUUCCCCUGUUUCUGGCCUGUUUCAUCUCCACCCCCGUUGGAUCUGAGCUCCUUGAGGGUGGCCCCUACACCCUGCAGUGCUGAGCAUUGGGAGGUGUGAGGGUUGCUGAAGGCUGGGGGUUGGUGCUUUUCUUCAUUCAGCAGUCAUCAUUUAUUGAGCACCCACUGUUUGCCAGCUCCUUGGCUAAGCAUUUCAAGCCCUGUUCCAUGGGCUCAGUCUUCCAGGGGCUGGCCGCUAACUACGCAUCGAUUGAUUUCCAGAAGGACAGAAGCACAUAGCAGGGCCUGGUCUCCACUGGGGGUGCCAGGAGCUG